rnacentral:lncRNA from 1 species
CUGAAAGUCUAGGCUGGAGAUUGCAGCCUGCAAACUCCCAGACUCCAGGAAGGAACCUUCUCUGCUUUCUCUCUAGUCUCUUUGGAGCACCUUGAGGACAGGAGCUUGGCUUCAAGAAGACAGCAGAAGCACCAGGAGACGGGAAGAUACCUCUGAGAGUUAACCUACAGGAUCGGCAUUCCUGACUGCAGCUGUGGUAUGUAGUUUCAAGGUAAAGCUAAAAAAAAAAAGAAAGAAAGAAAAGCAAGGCCUUAAUUUAAGUCCUUCUGUCUUUCUUUUUAAUUACUCAAAUGAAUUUAUCACAUCUGUAGUUGUAUAAUGAUCAUAACAAUCCAAUUUCACAAGAUUUCCACCUAGGCCCUUCUGUCUUGAUCAUUUCUUUCAUUCCCCAAGGUAAGUUUCCCAAUAUUUACUGGAACUUGACAUACUGUCGUCAUAACCGGUAUUUAUGCUCCCUGGCAGGUCUACUCUCAGUCUUCCUGAUCUCCUAGAGUCUGGAGAGGACGCCUCUGUCUCAGAGAGCUUCUCUUUCUCCUGUACUUCCUUUCCAAUCCUAUAAGAUCCUCUGGGCCUCUGGCCUUAUUCAUCUCAUUCGAGCAGCCCUUGUCCCUUUCCAUGAUGUUUUCCAUACAACAGAUUUUAGAUUAUUUUAGUUCGGAAGCCAAUUUUAACCGGGUAUCUUCUCUGAAAAGUUUCCUCUACCACCUGGAAUAGGGAUAGGCACCAAAUGAAUUCCACGUACAGAACAGCCCAGCUACAAUUCCUGAGCCACCUAAACUCCGAGUCUUCUGGGCCAACUAAAAGGUUUUGUUGAAAGUUACUCGUGUAUCUCCAGAUAACAGCCAUUCUACUUCUUUCUCAAUUUCCUUCUGCACUCUACCUUGUCACACUGAAAAAUUCCUUGGAACCUAAUCUGAAGAGGUAUUCCUUCUAAAUCCUCUGGAGUAGCUCUUCAAAUCCCUGAUAACAGUUCCUUGCUCCAGAUUUUUCUAAACUAUGAGGCAUGCUGUUAUCACCAGGAGAAUCAUAUGUCCCUUGACUUAGUGGUAGCAACACCCUUCACGGGGAUUUACCUCAUCAAGUCCCACAUCCCCCUGGGCACAGAGAUUAUGGUUCCCACGGGACUUUAGAAAAAUUAAAAGAUAGGAGUUAAUAUUUACUGAGCCCUUAGUGUAGGUCAAACACUGGGCUGAACACUUCACAUGCGUGGUCACUUGGCACACAGGCGAGGGCAACGUCAUAAUUCAAGGCCUCUACAACACCCUCCCGUUGCAUCUGGUCAGCAGAAUGUGGCAUAGAUGAAGGCAUUUUUCAGAUGUAAUUAAGGUCUCAAAGAGAUGUGGUCUUUUCCUACACUUGAUCUUAGCCAAAAGGCCGAAAAGCGAUGAUGCGGUCUUUUCUUGGGUCAGAUACUCUCCCCAGCUGCUGGCUUGAAGAAGUAAGCCACCACAUUGAGACAGGGCCUGUGGAAAGGGUAACAUGGCAAAGAACUGUGGAUGGUCCUAAGCCCACAAGGAAAUGAAUUCUGCCAACACGUAAAAGCUGAAAGCAGCUUUCCUCCAGUUGAGACUCCAGAGGAGAGUAAGGGUCAGUCACCACCUAGAUUGCUGCCGUGUGAUACCGUGAGCAGAGGACCCAGCUAAGCCAUGCCAGACUCCUGAAGAACUGUGAUGUAGCGUAUGUGUUAAGAAACUAAGUUUGUAGAUUCUUUUAUACAAUAGAAAAAUAAUACAGACUUGGGUGCCUAGAAGUGGAAACGAAAAACAUGGGAGCAGCUUUGGAAUCAGGCUAGAAGAACUUUGAAAAGCAUAAAAGAGAAUGCCUAUGUGCCUUCAACAGACUAUUAGUAUAAAUCUAGGCAUUCGUAUGCUAUAGUGGGGGCUCAGAAGAAAUUGAGAAACAUGUUAUUAGGAAAAAAAAAAGAGGAUUCUUGUCAUGUAGCAGUACAGAGCUUAGCAAAAUUAUGUCCUGGAGUUAUCUACAAGGAAAUACUUAAAAGCUGGUUAUAUAAUUAAGAAGACUUCCAAGUAAAGUGUUAAAAGUGCCUCCUGAUUUUUUUCUUGCUACUUACAAUAAAAUGGGAGAGGAGAAAAAU